rnacentral:misc_RNA from 1 species
GAUGAAGAACGUAGCGAAAUGCGAUAAGUAAUGUGAAUUGCAGAAUUCAGUGAAUCAUCGAAUCUUUGAACGCAUCUUGCGCUCCUUGGUAUUCUGAGGAGCAUGCCUGUUUGAGUGUCAUUAAAUUCUCAACUACACUGACUUUGAAUUGGAGUGGCUUGGAUUUGGGGGGAAAAUUGUUGUGGGCUUUUUGUAUAGUCUGCUCCCCUGAAAUUGAUUAGCGGUACCUUUGUGGAACUGUCUACAGGUGUGAUAAUUAUCUACAUCUUAGACAUCUGCUGGAAUGCUGCUUUCUAAACCUUACUUGUAUUGACAAUCUUGACCUCAAAUCAGGUAGGACUACCCGCUGAACUUAAGCAUAUCAAUAAGCGGAGGA